ACCUAGAAGAAAUGGCUCUUUUUCAAUGUAUAAUAAAAUUCUUCUCUGCUCUCUAUUACAUCCAGGAGAUUACAUGCCUCAUUGCUCCCGUCCUCCAUCACAGACUGAGCAGAGCAUAUGCAUUGAGUUGCGCUGUGUUUACCACAACCACGCGGUCUCUCCAUUACAGAAGAACGCUGUGAUGACAGGGUCUGCUAUCGGAGAGUCUGUGAAGUUCCUGUCCUCACCAGAGGACAAAGAAGAACAAGAGCAUGGAGGUUCAAUUCAUCUAGACCUUGGUAACCUUAGACGUUUCAAGGUUCUGGGCAUAUUUCAAUCUCUAUUGUGAGUAUUUUAUGCUGCACUUUUUCACAACAGAAUUGCCAUCAAAUAAUAUCCUUUUCAGUUUUAAAGAAAUGGUAGUAUGUCGACUGUAUGUAACAAUGUAUGUAAAGUCAGGAAGAAUAUAAUUAGCAUUCUGUGAGACAUUGAGAUCUGUUUACUUUGUGCUCAUUUAUGUAAUCCA
ensembl:lncRNA